rnacentral:rRNA from 1 species
UGAAGCCAAGCUUGCUUGGUGGAUCAGUGGCGAACGGGUGAGUAACACGUGAGCAACCUGCCCUGGACUCUGGGAUAAGCGCUGGAAACGGCGUCUAAUACUGGAUAUGAGCCCUUAUCGCAUGGUGGGGGUUGUAAAGAUUUUUUGGUCUGGGAUGGGCUCGCGGCCUAUCAGCUUGUUGGUGAGGUAAUGGCUCACCAAGGCGUCGACGGGUAGCCGGCCUGAGAGGGUGACCGGCCACACUGGGACUGAGACACGGCCCAGACUCCUACGGGAGGCAGCAGUGGGGAAUAUUGCACAAUGGGCGAAAGCCUGAUGCAGCAACGCCGCGUGAGGGAUGACGGCCUUCGGGUUGUAAACCUCUUUUAGCAGGGAAGAAGCGAAAGUGACGGUACCUGCAGAAAAAGCGCCGGCUAACUACGUGCCAGCAGCCGCGGUAAUACGUAGGGCGCAAGCGUUAUCCGGAAUUAUUGGGCGUAAAGAGCUCGUAGGCGGUUUGUCGCGUCUGCUGUGAAAUCCCGAGGCUCAACCUCGGGCCUGCAGUGGGUACGGGCAGACUAGAGUGCGGUAGGGGAGAUUGGAAUUCCUGGUGUAGCGGUGGAAUGCGCAGAUAUCAGGAGGAACACCGAUGGCGAAGGCAGAUCUCUGGGCCGUAACUGACGCUGAGGAGCGAAAGGGUGGGGAGCAAACAGGCUUAGAUACCCUGGUAGUCCACCCCGUAAACGUUGGGAACUAGUUGUGGGGACCAU